UAUCACGCACGCUGAUGGUUUUUAUGAAUUUCUUGUUACAACCUUUCUCCACCCUCUUUUUGUAAAUUUCAUUGUUAACUCUCAAAAUCUUGAAUGGCUUUCAUGAAUUGUAAAGGGUGCUUUUCUUAACUACAUAAGCAAAUUGAUUUAUAAGAUUAAAAUCCGGUAUUAAACUUACCCAGUAAGGAUUUGAAUGCUUCCAAUAUCAAAAAAAUAAAAUUUUCCCCAUCACCAAACUAUCAUUUUCUGCAGUGUCAAAAGUUCUACAUUUACAACUUCAACAAAUAUUAGGAAUUUUAACAUAGCAUCCCAAUUCGCGUGCAUGUUACAACAAUAAUUCAGUAUCUAUCUAGAAUUCCAUCUUAUCAUAAAUUUUUACUCAUAAUCUCCACUUAACAAAUAGCAAGCAACAGACCAAUAUAGAUACUACAUAUUCACAAGCAUUGAUAAUAAAUCAAUCACAAUUCACAAAGG
rnacentral:misc_RNA from 1 species